rnacentral:rRNA from 1 species
GUGGGGAAUUUUGGACAAUGGGCGAAAGCCUGAUCCAGCCAUGCCGCGUGCAGGAUGAAGGCCUUCGGGUUGUAAACUGCUUUUGUACGGAACGAAAAGACUCCUUCUAAUAAAGGGGGUCCAUGACGGUACCGUAAGAAUAAGCACCGGCUAACUACGUGCCAGCAGCCGCGGUAAUACGUAGGGUGCAAGCGUUAAUCGGAAUUACUGGGCGUAAAGCGUGCGCAGGCGGUUAUAUAAGACAGAUGUGAAAUCCCCGGGCUCAACCUGGGAACUGCAUUUGUGACUGUAGAGCUAGAGUACGGUAGAGGGGGAUGGAAUUCCGCGUGUAGCAGUGAAAUGCGUAGAUAUGCGGAGGAACACCGAUGGCGAAGGCAAUCCCCUGGACCUGUACUGACGCUCAUGCACGAAAGCGUGGGGAGCAAACAGGAUUAGAAACCCUUGUAGUCC